GGAAUAACGUCGAGAAAUCGGCGCUAAUACCUCAUUAAUGCAGCGGACCCGCAUGGGUAUUGUUGUUAAAGGUUUACCGCCUUGGGAUAGGCUUGCGUCUGAUUAGCUAGUUGGUGUGGUAACGGCACACCAAGGCUACGAUCAGUAACUGGUCUGAGAGGAUGAUCAGUCACACUGGAACUGAGACACGGUCCAGACUCCUACGGGAGGCAGCAGUGAGGAAUAUUGGGCAAUGCACGAAAGUGUGACCCAGCAACGCCGCGUGGAGGAUGAAGGUAUUCUAUAUCGUAAACUCCUGUGAGAGCAGACGAAAGACAGAUUAUUAAUUUGGAUGACUGUAUGCUCAGAGGAAGCCCCGGCUAACUACGUG
rnacentral:rRNA from 1 species